GCCCAGCCGUAAACUUUAAUUUACAUUCAAAUCGCCAGGGAACUACGAGCCAAGCUUAAAACCCAAAGGACUUGACGGUACCCCAUAUCCCCCUAGAGGAGCCUGUCCUAUAAUCGAUAAUCCACGUUUAACCUCACCAUUUCUAGUUAAUCAGCCUGUAUACCUCCGUCGUCAGCUUACCACGUGAGCGCCAAUUAGUGAGCUUAAUGUCUUUCACCAACACGUCAGGUCAAGGUGCAGCAAAUGAAAUGGGAAGAGAUGGGCUACACUUUCUAUAUUAGAAAAAACGAAAAACUAUUUAUGAAAACUAGUUGGAAGGCGGAUUUAGCAGUAAAAAGGAAUCAGAAUGUCCAUUUUAACCCGGCACUGGGGUGUGUACACACCGCCCGUCACCCUCUUCAAAGCUUCUAACCUAGUUUUUAACAAACUAAGGCAUAACAGAAGAGGCAAGUCGUAACAUGGUAAGUAUACCGGAAGGUGUGCUUGGAAA
rnacentral:rRNA from 1 species